UACGUAGGGUGCAAGCGUUGUCCGGAAUUAUUGGGCGUAAAGAGCUUGUAGGCGGUUUGUCGCGUCUGCUGUGAAAUUUCGGGGCUCAACCCCGAACUUGCAGUGGGUACGGGCAGACUAGAGUGUGGUAGGGGGAGACUGGAAUUCCUGGUGUAGCGGUGAAAUGCGCAGAUAUCAGGAGGAACACCGGUGGCGAAGGCGGGUCUCUGGGCCAUAACUGACGCUGAGAAGCGAAAGCUGGGGAGCGAACAGG
rnacentral:rRNA from 1 species